GGGAACCUCACCCGGCCCGGACACCGCGAGGAUUGACAGACUGAGAGCUCUUUCUCGAUUCGGUGGGUGGUGGUGCAUGGCCGUUCUUAGUUGGUGGAGCGAUCUGUCUGGUUAAUUCCGAUAACGAACGAGACCCCAACCUGCUAACUAGCCCUCGGGUCCUGCUUCUGUUGGGCCCGACGGAAUGAUUCGCUUCUUAGAGGGACUGGCGACCCCUAGUCGCACGAGGUUGAGCAAUAA
rnacentral:rRNA from 1 species